AUUGAACGCUGGCGGCAGGCCUAACACAUGCAAGUCGAGCGGAUGAAGGGAGCUUGCUCCUGGAUUCAGCGGCGGACGGGUGAGUAAUGCCUAGGAAUCUGCCUGGUAGUGGGGGAUAACGUCCGGAAACGGGCGCUAAUACCGCAUACGUCCUGAGGGAGAAAGUGGGGGAUCUUCGGACCUCACGCUAUCAGAUGAGCCUAGGUCGGAUUAGCUAGUUGGUGGGGUAAAGGCCUACCAAGGCGACGAUCCGUAACUGGUCUGAGAGGAUGAUCAGUCACACUGGAGCUGAGACACGGUCCAGACUCCUACGGGAGGCAGCAGUGGGGAAUAUUGGACAAGGGGCGAAAGCCUGAUCCAGCCAUGCCGCGUGUGUGAAGAAGGUCUUCGGAUUGUAAAGCACUUUAAGUUGGGAGGAAGGGCAGUAAGUUAAUACCUUGCUGUUUUGACGUUACCAACAGAAUAAGCACCGGCUAACUUCGU
rnacentral:rRNA from 1 species